rnacentral:rRNA from 1 species
UACGAAAGGGGGGCGAGCGUUUGUUCGGAAUUACUGGGCGUAAAGGGCGCGCAGGCGGCCCUUGAAGUCAGGCGUGAAAGCCCCGGGCUCAACCUGGGAGGUGCGCUUGAUACUCGAGGGCUUGAGUGCGGGGAGAGGAGAGUGGAAUUCCCAGUGUAGAGGUGAAAUUCGUAGAUAUUGGGAAGAACACCGGUGGCGAAGGCGGCUCUCUGGACCGUAAACUGACGCUGAGGCGCGAAAAGCGUGGGGGAGCAAACAGG